rnacentral:rRNA from 1 species
AAGCACUCCGCCUGGGGAGUACGGUCACAAGGGUAAAACUCAAAGGAAUUGACGGGGACCCGCACAAGCGGUGGAGCAUGUGGUUUAAUUCGAAGCAACGCGAAGAACCUUACCAACUCUUGACAUCCCCCUUACCUGUACAGAGAUGGACGUUCCCCUUCGGGGGCAGGGGUGACAGGUUGUGCAUGGUUGUCGUCAGCUCGUGUCGNGAGAUCUUGGGUUAAGUCCCGCAAGGAGCGCCACCAUUCUCUUGUGCCCCCAGCAUUAAGUUGGGCACUCUAAGGAGGCAGCCGGUGACAAACUGGAGGAAGGUGGGGAUGACGUCAAAUCAUCAUGGCCCUUAUGAGCAUGGUCACACACGUGCUACAAUGGNCCGCCCAAAGGGUAACGCACCCCAGAGCCAGACCCAAUCCCAGAAAGAGGUUCUUAGUUCG